rnacentral:rRNA from 1 species
CAUGUCUUUUUGAUUAUGAUUUAAAGUCUAAUCUGCACAAUGAAAAUUUAAAUUGCCGCAGUAUUUUGACUGUGCAAAGGUAGCAUAAUAAUUAGUUUCUUGAUUAGGAACUGGUAUGAAUGAUUGGACAAGAAAAUUUCUGUUUCUUAUUAAUGUAUUUUUUAAUUUUAUUUUUAAGUUAAAAAGCUUAGAUGUAUAUAAAAGACGAGAAGACCCUAUAGAGUUUUAUAUUUAUUAAUAAUUAUGUAUUAGGAUUAAUUUUUUUUAUUAAGUAUUUUAUUGGGGUGAUAGAAAGAUUUAUAAAAUUCUUUAAAUUUUAAAUUGAUGAUUUUUAAUUUUUUUUAUCUAAAUUUUUUAAAUUUAAAAUUAAUUACCUUAGGGAUAACAGCGUAAUUUUUCUUUAAAGCUCUUAUUGAAAGGAAAUUUUGCGACCUCGAUGUUGGAUUAAAAUAAAUUUUUGGUGCAUCAACUUAAAAAUUAGGUCUGUUCGACCUUUAAAAUUUUACAUGAUCUGAGUUUAAAUCGGCGUAAGCCAGGUUGGAUUCUAUCUUUAGAUUUAUUAUAUAUUUUAGUACGAAAGGACCAAGUAUAUAUUAUAUAUUAAUUG